rnacentral:rRNA from 1 species
CUACUCGGGUAUCUAAUCCUGUUUGCUACCCACGCUUUAGCACCUCAGUGUCAGUAUCAGUCCAGGUGGUCGCCUUCGCCACUGGUGUUCCUUCCUAUAUCUACGCAUUUCACCGCUACACAGGAAAUUCCACCACCCUCUACCAUACUCUAGCUUGCCAGUUUUGUAUGCAGUUCCCAGGUUGAGCCCGGGGAUUUCACAUCCAACUUAACAAACCACCUACGCGCGCUUUACGCCCAGUAAUUUCGAUUAACGCUUGCACCCUCUGUAUUACCGCGGCGGCUGGCAC